rnacentral:lncRNA from 13 species
AUGCUGCACCGUUACUCUGACGCCACCCGGGGGAACCUGUCCAAGAUCCUGCAGUUAAAGAUCGUGGCGCUGGAGGUGCACAACCAUGACAUCAUCAACAAGCUGGCCAAGUCGGGCUGUAACCACGUCAACACCUUGGACUGGCUCUGCCAGCCCCACCUCUACUUGGCGAAGCUCCUGGCCAAGACGGAGUUCACCCUGUACUCUCUGGUGGUGCAGCAGCUGUCAAAACAUGACCACUCUGACUAUGCUGGCAAGAACAGACUAGUCUGCACAAGACCAGAUCCUGCUGAUGUCAAUGAAGGACAUGAACAACACCAAGGUGUCCUCCGUCGACCUGUCGCUGUUCAACAACAUCAUCCAGGACCUCAUCCCCGCGGUGGAGACCCCCACCAUCGACUACAGAAAGGUUGA